UUCUGGCACUGGCAGUUGCUUGUUGAUAAAAUUUAAUCAUAUUACACAUAUUUCGCUCUUUACGGUCUGUUACCCCAAUAAGGCCCCUGGUUUUUUGGGGGGCUUGUUGGUCCAUGCAUGCUGGAGGUAUUUACUCUUGUUUACAGUUGUGCACGUCGACGAGAAUGGCCAAAAAUAUCCAAUUUGAAAUUAAUGCCUUUAGGAUAUUAUUCAUAAAAUUCGUGUGAGUGAUGCGGAAUAUGGAGAGUGAGAGCCUCCGCUGUUGUAAUUGCCCUGCGGCAUUUGGCGGGUUGAAGUCUUGCCAGCUACCGCAAAAGUUUAUUGUGUGCUAUAAAUUUAAUGCAACAAAUCAUUUGACCGAGGAAAGCCCAAGCUGACAAAGAUAGAAAGGAAAGGAAGGCGGCGGAGGUUGGUGCAAUAAAAUAAGUCAGUAAAAGAAAUAGUAGUAGACAAGUAUUUUACUGAGUCUAAUAAAACAUAGCAUUACAAACUUAA
rnacentral:sRNA from 1 species